UGGGGAAUUUUGGACAAUGGGCGAAAGCCUGAUCCAGCAAUGCCGCGUGUGUGAAGAAGGCCUUCGGGUUGUAAAGCACUUUUGUCCGGAAAGAAAUCCUUGGCUCUAAUACAGUCGGGGGAUGACGGUACCGGAAGAAUAAGCACCGGCUAACUACGUGCCAGCAGCCGCGGUAAUACGUAGGGUGCAAGCGUUAAUCGGAAUUACUGGGCGUAAAGCGUGCGCAGGCGGUUUGCUAAGACCGAUGUGAAAUCCCCGGGCUCAACCUGGGAACUGCAUUGGUGACUGGCAGGCUAGAGUAUGGCAGAGGGGGGUAGAAUUCCACGUGUAGCAGUGAAAUGCGUAGAGAUGUGGAGGAAUACCGAUAGCGAAGGCAGCCCCCUGGGCCAAUACUGACGCUCAUGCACGAAAGCGUGGGGAGCGAACAGGAUUAGAUACCCUGGUAGUCCACGCCCUAAACGAUGUCAACUAGUUGUUGGGGAUUCAUUUCCUUAGUAACGUAGCUAACGCGUGAAGUUGACCGCCUGGGGAGUACGGUCGCAAGAUUAAAACUCAAAGGAAUUGACGGGGUCAUAGCUGUUUCCU
rnacentral:rRNA from 1 species